rnacentral:rRNA from 1 species
UACGGGGGGAGCAAGCGUUGUUCGGAUUUACUGGGCGUAAAGGGCGCGUAGGCGGUCGUGACAAGUCACUUGUGAAAUCUCCGGGCUUAACUCGGAACGGUCAAGUGAUACUGUCGGACUAGAGUACAGAAGGGGCAACUGGAAUUCUCGGUGUAGCGGUGAAAUGCGUAGAUAUCGAGAGGAACACCUGCGGCGAAGGCGGGUUGCUGGGCUGACACUGACGCUGGAGGCGCGAAAGCUAGGGGAGCGAACGGG